rnacentral:misc_RNA from 1 species
UGGUUCUGGCAUCGAUGAAGAACGCAGCGAAAUGCGAUAAGUAAUGUGAAUUGCAGAAUUCAGUGAAUCAUCGAAUCUUUGAACGCACAUUGCGCCCCCUGGUAUUCUGGGGGGCAUGCCUGUUCGAGCGUCAUUUCAACCCUCAAGCCUGGCUUGGUGUUGGGGCACUGCUCCCUAGACGGAGCAGGCCCUGAAAUAUAGUGGCGAGCCCGCCAGGACCCCCGAGCGCAGUAGUUAAGCCCUCGCUCCGGGUGGUACUGGCGCGGCCCUGCCGUUAAACCCCCCAAACUCCUGAAAAUUUGACCUCGGAUCAGGUAGGAACACCCGCUGA